rnacentral:lncRNA from 1 species
CUCUGCAUCCACUGGGUUUGAGGUAGGUGUAGCAGGACCAGCCUUGGUUCCACUAGAAGAGGUGUCUGUUGGAUUAAUGUCUAAGUCCAUAACUAUAUUUGGUAUGUACUUGACCCGACCCGGCAUGGUCCAUUUGGGUUGCACUUCACCCACACAAUUUAUAUGGAUAAUCUUUUGAGAAUAGUAUGUUUAUGAUUAAUAUUAAUAUAUUAUAAGUUCUAAUAUAUUAAUAUGGAAUCAUAUUAUUUAAUUAGUAUUGAUCAAGAAUUAAUUUAUAAUUAAUUAAGUGAUCAAAAGGAACUAAUUAAAUAUGGACUCUUAUAUAUAUGGAAUGGGCCAAGUUCAUUUAGGUUGGGCUAAGCUUUCAUGGAUAGUCCAUGGAGUGUUUAACCCAUGGAUCCUAGGAAAUGAAAGGUCAUGGGUAUUAGGGUUUAACCCUAAUCCUCCAUACUAUAUAAAGAUGUCUUUGGUUGGUGAAAUUGGCACUAGUGGUGAUACACUAAGAGGGCUAGCCGAUUUCACUAAGAGAGAACCAAGUAUUCAUAUUCUCUAAAGUCUUCCAAGGUGUCUUGGUGAUUUGUGAUUCCACUUGAGGCUUCCACACUAUUGGGGCUAAGCUCUUAAAGCUUGAAGACAUCAAGCUACAUCAAAAGGUAUGUCUUCUAACUAGUACUUUGUAGAUUAAGAACAUCAUAAUAUGCUAGUUAGGAUUAAAGCCUUGGAAAGUUCUUAUUUGCAUGUAUAAUAGAGAAAACAUAGAUCCAAGGUUUAUAGGGUUGCAUGUACACCAUAGGAGUGUUAGAAUGCUCAAAACCCAACAGUGGUAUCAGAGCCACGGGUUGUUUUCUGUUAUAUUGAUGCAAAUAUUUUAUUUUCAAAGUUGAAAAAAAAAAAAAAAAAAAACAUGAAGUUUGUCAAAUUUUAAGAUAAUUACUUGUUCUUGUGAAAAACUAAUUAUUUGUAAAAUUUGAAUAAUUUGCUUUAUGAGUUGAAUUAGGUCAAAUUUAAUAAAAGAUAAAAUAAUAUGAUUAUUUUAUUAGUUUUAAAAGUUUGAUCUAAAGAGUUUUAUUUUUUGAAACCUCCAUAAGUUAUGGAUAUGAAAAGGUUUUAAAAAAAAAAUUGAUUCAAAGUUUUUUUGGAGUUACAAAAUUUGGUGUUAAUGUUUUAAAGGAUUCCAUAACUUAAGAAUAAGUUAUGGAUCACCAAAAGUUUUUUGUGUUACCUUGUUUUAUGAGUGAAUUUAGAUUAAUGAAUAAAAUUAUGUGAUAGUUGGUUUUAAUCCAAAUUAAUCUAAGAAUUGAUUCUAAAAUGUGUUUUUGUAACUUGUCCUCAAGUUAUAUGAAAAGUCACAUUUAAGAAUCAUAAAACUCAUAAAAAUUGGCAAAGGUUACAAAAAUGAAGAGUCUAGUUCUAAUUAAAUGGUUUUAUGACUCCAUAACUUGUCCUCAAGUUAUGGAGGACCAAGAGUCUCUUCAUUUAAUAAAAUAAAAUAAAAAAAAAAAAAGUGUAACCUUAAUUAAUUCCAUAAGUUAUAAAAUAAAGAAAAGUUAAUUCUUUUAUUAGUUUAAAGUCUUCCAUAACUUGUCCUCAAGUUAUGGAACUUGAAGAGUUUUUGGAUUAAAACUACUUUAAACACAUAAGUUAUGGAAUUAAUUAGUUUUGAAUAGUUUCAAAACUUGCCCUCAAGUUUUGGAAUUUGUAAAGUUUUCACUUAUGAAUACUUUAAUUCCAAGUUAGCCCUUAGAAUUUUAAAAGUUAAAAUUCAACCCUUAUACUUUAUAAUAUUAUAAGUUAAUAAUAUAUAUAUGUAUAAGAGUAAAGUCAGUCUUACCGCUAGUACGCCUCAUUCACGAAGCCGGUCUAUAAGGUGGGUAUAAGGUUGUUGCCUAUAAAAUGGCAACUUAAUGGGUGUCCACUCUCACCCACCGCUUGCUUGACUGGUGGAGGGUCGUUAGCCGAACGGGUUUGACAGGACUAGAAUUCUCCCUUCAUUAAAAGUAUUAAUGAUAAUACUAAGUAACUAAACUCUUAAUAAUACCCAAUCUUAGUUACUUAGGAAAAAUGUGAAUAAGGUGCUAAUCCAUGAAAUUACACUUUACACUUUGUCUAAGUCGUUAGUGGAGCGUGUGUGGUUAACCGGCACACUAACUUGGACUUAACAAGGUAGGUAAAGGGUGACUUAAUAUUUAUCAUAGUAUCGAUGGAGCGUGUGUGGUUAACCGGCACAUCGAUUGAGGGGUAAUUUAUUAAGGGUACCAAGUGAUUUGCAUGGUUACUUCACACCUUGUUUUGUGAUCCUCGGCAUCCCAGUCACAAAACCUGAAGGGCACACUCGAGAUUGAAACAUGCCUUUGAAAAGUUCAAUGAAUCUCAAAGAUCUAGGAGUUUCAAAACCAAUUAAAACCUAAUAAUACAUUUCGUUUAUCUUGGUGGAAAUUGGUGAAUCGUCAUUCACCUACCUUCAAAUAUUUUAUAGCUUGGAUUACGGCAUACCUCUUCUAAGUUAUAAAAUAGUUUGUUGGGUCCUAGCCUUAAUAUUUCAUAUUGGGUGUCAUAUUAAGGACUUUAAAUCAACUAUCUUGAAUAUCUCCCAAAAGAUGUCUGUAAUAGACACCUAUGAUCUUCCCAAAUCUAGUGAAACAAGGUUUCCUAAAUGAAGAUGAUGUCCUUUGGAAAUCAUACUUCUUUCACCUCCUCCAAUUAUUCUCCCUAACCCACAAGUUCUUGAAAAGUUUAAGGUCACUCAAGCCCUAUUGGCAAGGCAAGGUCUAGGUGUGAUCACAUCUUGGAGAUGUAGUCACAUAUUGACAAGCCGGGAGAGUUGGGUGUCAAAGUCUUGAGAAAGUUGGUGGUUCAAUCACUUUCUAAGUCACAUAGUGAGUUCCUUUGGGACACCUAUGAAACAGACUAUGACAAGACCCUUAAUGAUCUUAUCUAUUUGCUAAGAUCAACUUCCUAAAACUUUAUGGACAUUGACAAUGAUGACAUUGGAUAUCCAGUAAAGCAUUCUCUUCCCAAUGGAAAGGGAUCGGCCAUAGUCAACUCGGUUGACCAAAUGGUAAAGAGAAAAGCUAAGUCUGUGAUAGUCUCGUGUACCAUUAUCAAAGGGUCCAUAUGUUUAUAUUGCCAAGGGAAGGGGCAUUGGUUGCGAAGCUGCCAAAUUUACCUAAGGAUGUUAAAGUCAAUAAGUUUGACUCUACUUCAGGUAAAGACCACUAUCUAACUCUGUUAAGUUUCUAUUCUGAGAUUCCUGAUACAUGAUGUGACUGGGUCACAUGGUGAUGUUUUAAGAAUCAAAGAAAAGUGAAGAAACUUAAAGAAAGAAUAUGCUGAAUCUGAUGGCGUAGAUGGAUUUCUAUCGCAUAGUUUGAAGAUCGGAUUCUUGAGCAACUUCUUAGGAGUUAUGAGAUAUUGCUUAGGAAUAGAUAACAACAAGUUUUCAUAUGGAUUGUAAGGAUAAGUUUUUCCGCAAAGUUUUAAAAUAAAAGAAAAUUUUUUUGAUUUUAUUUAUUUUAAAAUAUCCUUACAAUGGCUUUUGAGGAAAAAUUGUUGCUUAUAUGAUUCCAUUAAGAGCAAGAGUGGAAAUAUGAAAUUGAUUCUUUCAUUUGUGGUAAUGUCUAGAUUUACCAAAUAAGGAAAGAUUCUCAUCACCCAAGUUUCAAUUGGACCGGAACUUGGAAUCAUGCAAGUUGUAUAGCAUGAUGAAUGAGAACUUUCAAGUUUUGGAAAAUUAAGACUAAUUACUCGGCCACAUGGAUGUGUGAGUCAAGUAAAGGACUAAGGGAUCGAGUACACAUUCUUGUGCACUGAUUAAGUCCACCACAAAAGAUUGAUAAGACUAUUCGUCAUAGUUUACUAAAGCUCAGUAAAUAUGAUUAUACUUACAAGCUUAAGUGUAACUCUGAGACAUUGGAAAAGGUUCCAAUGUAUGGCAGGGCGAAUAAGAAGAAUCAAAUAAGGCAGAAGGAUAAAAGUUUCUCAAAUCUGAAAAGAUGGGAGAGUACUUUAGUAUCAGUUUUGUGAUCAUCUUAAUGAUUAAGAAACCAUAUCAAAAUUAGUUCUCUAAGGAAAUCUUAGUGCAUUCUUAUGACUAAGAAGAGGAACUUGAAUUGUUGAAAUGGUUAAAUCAAGAAGAUGAGUCAUACUUCGUUCCAAUACAAGUCUUAGAGUCAUACUCCAAGAUUGUCAUUUGAGUGACAUGUCUUAAAGAAGGUUUAAAACACUUGUCAAAUGUAAGAGUAAAAGUUUUCUACUCUUGUACAUUUGAAAUUGGUAAGUUGUGAUGUUUUGGAUAAAACAAAGACCAACUUAGGCCAAUUGGGUAAAGUGUUUUUCUUGAUUAGAAUCCGCACUAUCUCUUGGAUGUUUGACAAGGGAGUCUUAUAUGUCAAGAGGACAGUGGGAGUCUUAAAGGUCUUGAAAGUCUCAAGAACUAAUCAAGAAUAAAACCUGAAGUUCUUCACUAGCACACGACUUGAGGUUUAUAACCUAUCGUGUUGACAUAUUCUGUGCCCAUUCCAGUUAAAGUUGGCUUUGCAUAUGAGUUCUUAGAGUUCUCAAUUUGUUGCACAACAACUUGGAAGCAAUGGUAGGCCCUUGAGCUGCCAGGUGGCAAGAAAUUAAGAUUGAGUUCAGUCCAUAUGAGUUUGGAUUUGUCAUUAUCCUUGUCUUGUGACUAUGAUUUUGACAAUUCACAUGGAUAAGAACACAUACACCAUUAAAUCUAAGUGUCAUAAGGUUUCUCUCCGAUUCAUGAAAAUGAUGGUGAGGAAACACUUUCACUAAGUAGAUUUUAGCUAGAUAGCAAUUGUGAUAUUUGCAUUCUCAAAGUCGUUAGUGGAGCGCGUGUGGUUAACCGGCACACUAACUUGGACUUGUGAGAAGUGGCAAAAAGGUCUAAACAUUAUGAUUACGGCAUCCCUCUUCAUAAUUGUUUAGAUACACAAGUGUGCUAUCUAAGGGAAGGUGUAUGAUUUUGAUAAAGUUUUAUCAAAACAAUCUAGUAUCAGAAAUCUGAACUUUGGUAAGAAAGUCAAUGAAGUAUUGAUUUCUAGAAGUCCAGCUGAUUUCUGAGUACAUGUCAAAGCUAGUGGGAGCAUAAGUGUUAUGCUAAUAAUCAUCAUGUUAGUGGGAGCAUGAUAAUUAUGAUAAGUAUUGCAAGUUAGCAAUGUUAAUUAUAGAAAACAAAAGUUUCAAUUGGGAAAAAGUUGUUUUGCUAUAAUUAAGGGAGAGGAAAUUAUACUUCAUCUCAAAUCUAUAAGCUUAGAUCGUGAGGUUUUAAUCAUUUAGUCAAGGAUAUAUAUGAAUUUCAUGUUGGAAUGGCUCAACAUAAGGAAAUUCUGUAUAUGGGUCCAUUAUUUGCGUUCUAAAAUUCGAUUAUGAUUACGGCAUCCCUUUUCAUAAUCUGAAUUAUGAGAACUUGGCAAAUUGAAAUGGAAAUGUUAUAGCAAAAGACUGGUUUAGUCUUUAUGUGAGACAUCAUGAAUCGUGUCCCAUAUGCUUCGGAUAUAGGAUCGAUUACAUGUGCUAUAUUCAUCCGUUCUAAAAUUUUCCAAAUGCCUGGGGCAUUAAGAAGGGAAAAGGUUUAGAACUGGAUAUGACUAAAAGGAUUAAACAAUUGUCGAGGACAAUCUAAGGUUUACCAAAGAUUGGUUGCUCAAGGACAGUUGGAAGUAUAGUGAUAAUUCUGGAAGGACCAUAUUGACAUAAUCUGUAAGGAGGCAACUCUUGUUCAGAAGUGAUAGUCAAAAUGGAAUCUGGAAAUGUUUCAAAGUUAGAAUUUUCAAUCUGUUUAAGAUUAGGAAACUUAAUGCAAGAAGGAUGUUUCCAAGGAGCUGAUCUCCUUUGGAAUACUCUGUAAUGAUUGUUGUCAAGUCUUUCUGACUUUGUGCAUAAUCAUUACAAGAGGAUCAAUGCAUAUAAGUUUAGAAUCUAACAGAUUUCAGUAAAUGGCAUGAAUUUGGAAUUCUUGCAUUUGCAGUAAGGAUUUGGGAGUGUGAAAAGAGAAUCAUUGAAGUUAUGUUCAAUUGAUCUAGUUCACAAAGUAAAGAUCAUAGACAAACAUAGUAUGCAUACUUGGUGUGUGGCAUGACUAGUGUUUAAGAAAACAUAGUGUACAUGCUUGGAGCAUGGGACAACUAUUGUUUUAAAUUCAAGAAUAAAGUUGAUAGCUGAAACAGUAUACAAUGAAUAAUGUGUAAUCAUAUGGUGAUAAAUAAAAGGUGUUUUAUUUAUGUUCAAAGUUUUGAUACCAUAUUGGAUUCAAUUAUUAUUGUGUUUCACUUUGCAUGUUUUGACUUCCCGAAUAAACUAGGUUAUUCUUCCGGAAUGACUAAGUUAUUCAAACCAUCCACAGUCGGUCAUAUGUUGGAAGUAGAUAUGAAUUAAGACUGUCAUGGGUUGGCUUGUAGAGGUCUAAGGUGUUGGACAAAGGGCUACAACACUCAUGAGUGCUCAUAAGUUCUGAGUAUUGGAUUCAACCCGCGCUCAUUGGAAUCACUUCAUGGAUUUUAUCACGAGUGAUCAUGAGACGAUAAUAUCUUAUAUUCUUCAAACCUAGAGAUAUGAGUUGUUACUAUGAGUUGGUUGUACAUUGAUUGCACGAAAACGCAUUUGGUAACUCGGUGCUAUAAAACGUGCCUUUGUGUAUGAUUCAACAAGUAGUAGAACAAGCCAUAUGAGUCGAAGUUUAUCCGUUCCUUUUACCUUCGGGAUAAAAGCGAUAUCUGUGGGCCCCUCGAUGAUUUGAUGAUGACAAAUGGAAGUGCUCGGCCGGGCCAGGACUGAUUUGAUUUGUUCAAUUAGUCAGUCGUCAUAAAUCGGAAAUCGGGAAACAACAAAUGGACAGAGAGAAUGAUUAUAAUCCAUGUCUCAGUCCAUAUGAUAUCUAGAAUGGAGGAAUAUAUGAUCCCUUAUCUAAUGGACAAGUUCGUUGACAAGAUCAGAGUUCGACAGCAGCUUUAAGAGCUACGAUUGCCAGUUAGGUUUGAAGUCAUACGCAAUAAUAGUUUUAGACUUAUCCAAGUGGGAGACUGUUGGAUUAAUGUCUAAGUCCAUAACUAUAUUUGGUAUGUACUUGACCCGACCCGGCAUGGUCCAUUUGGGUUGCACUUCACCGACACAAUUUAUAUGGAUAAUCUUUUGAGAAUAGUAUGUUUAUGAUUAAUAUUAAUAUAUUAUAAGUUCUAAUAUAUUAAUAUGGAAUCAUAUUAUUUAACUAGUAUUGAUCAAGAAUUAAUUUAUAAUUAAUUAAGUGAUCAAAAGGAACUAAUUAAAUAUGGACUCUUAUAUAUAUGGAAUGGGCCAAGUUCAUUUAGGUUGGGCUAAGCUUUCAUGGAUAGUCCAUGGAGGGUUUAACCCAUGGAUCCUCGGAAAUGAAAGGUCAUGGGGAUUAGGGUUUAACCCUAAUCCUCCACACUAUAUAAAGAUGUCNGUGAAAUUGGCACUAGUGGUGAUACACUAAGAGGGCUAGCCGAUUUCACUAAGAGAGAACCAAGUAUUCAUAUUCUCUAAAGUCUUCCAAGGUGUCUUGGUGAUUUGUGAUUCCACUUGAGGCUUCCACACUAUUGGGGCUAAGCUCUUAAAGCUUGAAGACAUCAAGCUACAUCAAAAGGUAUGUCUUCUAACUAGUACUUUGUAGAUUAAGAACAUCAUAAUAUGCUAGUUAGGAUUAAAGCCUUGGAAAGUUCUUAUUUGCAUGUAUAAUAGAGAAAACAUAGAUCCAAGGUUUAUAGGGUUGCAUGUACACCAUAGG